GGAUUCAAUGUUGACUCAACAUUUAGCAUUUCCUGUCUCAAUGUCGACUGUGCACUGACUUCCUGCAAGAUCUCCUCUUUCUCUUUUAAAAAAAAUUUAU